AAUAGAUACCCGGUAGUCCACCCGUAAACGUUGGAACUAGUUGUGGGUCCAUUCCACGGAUUCCGUGACGCAGCUAACGCAUUAAGUUCCCCGCCUGGGGAGUACGGCCGCAAGGCUAAAACUCAAAGGAAUUGACGGGGACCCGCACAAGCGGCGGAGCAUGCGGAUUAAUUCGAUGCAACGCGAAGAACCUUACCAAGGCUUGACAUAUACGAGAACGGGCCAGAAAUGGUCAACUCUUUGGACACUCGUAAACAGGUGGUGCAUGGUUGUCGUCAGCUCGUGUCGUGAGAUGUUGGGUUAAGUCCCGCAACGAGCGCAACCCUCGUUCUAUGUUGCCAGCACGUAAUGGUGGGAACUCAUGGGAUACUGCCGGGGUUCAACUCGGAGGAGGGUGGGGAUGACGUCAAAUCAUCAUGCCCCUUAUGUCUUGGGCUUCACGCAUGCUACAAUGGCCGGUACAAAGGGCUGCAAUACCGCGAGGUGGAGCGAAUCCCAAAAAGCCGGCCCAGUUCGGAUUGAGGCCUGCAACUCGACCUCA
rnacentral:rRNA from 1 species